rnacentral:rRNA from 1 species
GGGCCACGGGGGCCUACGGGAGGCAGCAGUGGGGAAUCUUGGACAAUGGGGGNAACCCUGAUCCAGCCAUGCCGCGUGAGUGAUGAAGGCCUUAGGGUCGUAAAACUCUUUCGCCUGUGAUGAUAAUGACAGUAGCAGGUAAAGAAACCCCGGCUAACUCCGUGCCAGCAGCCGCGGUAAUACGGAGGGGGUUAGCGUUGUUCGGAAUUACUGGGCGUAAAGCGCACGUAGGCGGACUAUUAAGUCAGAGGUGAAAUCCCGGGGCUCAACCCCGGAACUGCCUUUGAUACUGGUAGUCUAGAGUUCGAGAGAGGUGAGUGGAAUUCCAAGUGUAGAGGUGAAAUUCGUAGAUAUUUGGAGGAACACCAGUGGCGAAGGCGGCUCACUGGCUCGAUACUGACGCUGAGGUGCGAAAGUGUGGGGAGCAAACAGGAUUAGAUACCCUGGUAGUCCACACCGUAAACGAUGAAUGCCAGUCGUCGGGUAGUAUACUAUUCGGUGACACACCUAACGGAUUAAGCAUUCCGCCUGGGG